GAGAGAGAGAGAGAGAGAGGACCUCCAACAUUAGGGUAUUUUAGUCAUUACAAAAUUUCUCUCUCCAAUGACCAUGGGCAAAUUGUUUGACUAAUGGUAAAUUUGCAUUUCUUUGGACAGAGGGACCUUUGAUUUUGACGAAAUUAAAACUAAGAGACUAAAUAGUUCAAUUUCCAAAACACAAGGACCAAUCAUAAUAUCUGUCAAAACUCAGGAACCAAAUAGUAAAUUUCCCAUAAAAUUAUCCUUAUUUAGCUUGAUAGACAAAGACAUUAAAGAGAGAUAUUAAGGAUAUAGAUAAAGAUAGGAAACAUGUUACUUAGACAACCUAGUAAAUGAUAUUCCCUCAAAAGUUGGCCUUAUGGAGAUGGACAAAUGAAAAGGGGAGGAAGCAUUAUGCAUCAAACAACAGAAAUAUGAAACGAAACACUUAUCUCACAAUGAAAUAGUAGUGAAAAGCUAAUGAACUUAUCAGCUAAUUUCCACUAUAUCCACACUUACAAGGCCACCUCAGGUUGUUAUUUGUAAUCCUCAUUUUGUUCCUUAGAACUUCCAAUAACCAAGUUAUCACCUACUGAAUUUCCAUGAGAAAUUUGAUAGAACUUAACAAGCAAUUCUUUUUUAUCCACUAAGUUAUUACAUAAAUGAAAGGAAUACAAAUACAAUAAACAUAUUAUGUAAGUCUAACUUAUCCAGGGCAAAUAAUAAGCUACAAUAUUCAUCAAAGAAUAAAUUAAAACAUAAAAUAGAAUAUAGAGCUCAAGGAAAUGAAAGCAGGCAUCAUAUGUAUGAACUAGCAAAUAGAAAGUACCAUUAAACCUCCCAAGAUGCUGCA
rnacentral:misc_RNA from 1 species